CAAUACACCACUUUUUUAGCAUUCCAUUAAAAUACUCUAAGGCUGUGAGGGAAAUUGAAAAUUGUUAAUGUACUAGUUAAUGUCUAUUUGUGUAUCAUUAUUCCCUGUAGUGUAGCAGUGGGACCUUAAUUCAUUAAUGGGAAGUGUAUUUGAUAAAAUCCAAUUACCAAGAAAGAAAGAAAAAGUGACAAAGUAGAGAAGAAAAGACAAGUUUGCUUGCUUACAAAGCAGCACUCAAUACACGAAUUAAUCCCGUUUUAAAAAGCACAAACUUUCGAAAUUAAAACUAUUUUGGCUAUUAUUGAGCAACGCCAUUGGUUUUCCAAACCACAUAAGAGAUCGAGUUGCAACCAGUUCUAAGAAUACCAAUAUCAUUUAAAAUUACAAUAUCUAAUCAGCAUUUCUUAUCCUUUUGCAAAACUUGAGAUUAAUCUCGAUGGUGAAGCUAUUGAGAUUAAUCUCUUUCGCUAGUAAAAGUCCAGUCUUGAUAGCAACAAGUUCUGCAUUUAACACGCACAUAUUUCUUUAGAUGAAACAAGUCUUGGCAGAGAUGCAAUGUCCCUAAAAAUCUCGAACAACUACUCCAAUUCUGCUACCAUCUACACCAGAUUUGAUACUUUCGUCCACAUUAAUUUUGACAGUAUUGAUGGAAGCUUGGUUUGGAUGCCAAAGUCAUGGAGAAUGGAAUGGAGCCAAGUUAAUUCACAAGCUGCACCAGCCAUUGCUCUGUAUUCUGCUUCAGCAGAAGAGCAAGAUACUCUAUGUUGUUUUUUGGACUUCCAGGAGAUGAGAGAUUUGCCAAGGAAGACACAAUAACCUGAGAUGGAUCGCCUAGUGUCCAAGCAUGCUCCCCAAUCUGCAUAUGCAAAAGCUUGAAGGUGUAUUGGUUCUGGUGUGGAGGUAUAAAAGAAGAGUCCUUGUCUAGGUGUUCCUUUUAGUUAUUGCAGUAUGCAAUUAGUUGCUUGGAGGUGUGGCUCUCUUGGAGCUUAAAGAUAUUGAAUUAGUUUGUUUACAGAAAAGAAAACAUCGGGUCUUGUUAUGGUUAGGUAUAUGAGUUUGUCAAUUAAGCUUCUGUAUUGGGUAGGGCUAGUUAGGAGUUUUCUUGACUCAUUGUUGAGCUUGUUAUUAGGUUCCAUGGGAGUUGAAAAUGGUUUAAUACCUAGGCAGCCAGUGUCUUGUAAUAGUUGUAGGGUAAAGGGCCUUUGUGUGACAGAAAUUGUAACGCCCUAAUGCUAAGGCACGCUACAGUGAUUUUUCAAUUGCAGUGCUAUCUUUGCUAAUCAAAGAAUUUCUUGAAAAUUGUGUCAAA